AAUAACAGGCAUGAGCCACUGCACCCGGCCUCCUCGGAAUUUUUAAACAGGGACCCUGUGUUUUCAUUUUGCUCCGGGUCCUAUGGAUUCUGCGGGGGGUGCUGGAGCUGCCUGCCCAGCUGAACAGGCUAGGGCUGUUGUCAGGACCUAGGAAGGACUGGCCAGCCGUCAGGGCAAGCUGCCUCAGGCAAGACGCUCACCCUCUGUGCCUCGGUUUUCCUUUUAGGAUGGGCAGGGGGCUAGGGGCAGGCAAGGAGCUGUCUGGGGCGACUCCUGCUGGCCACUGGGGGCACUAUAUGCACCUGCGAUAUCCAUGCCGGGCCCAGCUCCCCCCAGCACUCAACGCCCCUUAGCUGACUCACCCACCUCUGCUUCUGCCAUCUGAUCCACACCUAUCAUUGCCACCUGCACCAGCCUUGUCCCCUGGCUCCCGCCCUCACCCGUCUGUCCUCCCAGCAGCAGCCACCAGAGGCCGCCUGUGAGCACCUGUCAGGUCCUGUCUCUGCUCUGCCUGCGUCCCUCCAGGGCUCCCACCUCCCUCUGAGGGUAAAAGACCAACCCUCCCUGCCCUCCCCCCCUCCCUCCGCUCCAACCACACGGGCCUCCUCGCUGCUCCUCCAACACAUCAGGCAUGGUCCUGCCCCAGGACCUUUGCACAAGCUGUGCCUCUGCCUGGCUCACCCUCAGGCCACAGCAUGGCUCCUUCCCUUCCUGUCUCCCAGGAUGCUACUCACGCACCACUUUAUCAGGCUUUUCCUGUACAGCCCACCAGGAACAGCCCACCAGAAUCAGCCACCAUUGGCUGGGCGCUGUGGCUCACGCCUAUAAUCCCAGCACUUUGGGAGGCCAAGGCGGGCGGAUCACCAGAGGUCAGGAGUUUGAGACAAGCCUGGCCAACAUGGUGAAACCCCGUCUCUACUAAAAGUACAAAAAUUAGCCGGGUGUGGUGGUGGGCGCCUGUAGUCCCAGCUACUCGGGAGGCUGAGGGAGGAGAAUCGCUUGAACCCAGGAGGCAGAGGUUGAGGUGAAGUCGUGCUGGUAAGUGCCACCUUCUCUGCUGCACUGUAGUAUCUGGGGCAGCAUCGGGCACAGCAAGGGGCCUUAAGCCUGACGGACAGGCCUAUCGGACUCAAUGAAACUGAAAGAGGAUGUGGGGAAAUCGCACCCUUGUGCACAGCUGGCGGGAUGUGACAUGGCACAGCUGCUGUGGAAAAGUCGGGCAGCUCCCCAAAAAAUUAAAAUAGAGGCCGGGCGCGGUGGUCCACGCCUGUAAUCCCAGCACUUUGAGAGGCCGAGGUGGGAGGAUCAUGAGGUCAAGAUGGAGACCAUCCUGGCCAACAUGGUGAAACCCCAUCUCUACUAAAAAUACAAAAAUUAGCCGGGCGUGAUGGCAGGCACCUGUAGUCCCAGCUACUCAGGAGGCUGAGGCAGGAGAAUUGGUUGAACCCGGGAGGUGGAGGCUGCAGUGAGCCGAGAUCGCGCCACUGCAUUCCAGCCUGGCGACAGAGCGAGACUCCUCAAGGUGCAUCCAAAAAAAGAAAGACCAGAGGACCCAGCAAUGCUACCUCUGGAUGCACACACACGAGGACAGACAGGAGGGACUCAAACAGAAGCUUGCACACGCAGGUGCACAGCGGCACGACUGCCAACAGCCACAAGGUGGAAACCACCCAGACGUCCAUCGAUGAUAGAUGGAUCAACACAGCGUGGCCCAUCCACACAGUGGAAUAUUACUGAACCACGAAAAGGAAGGGAAUCCGGACAUGGGCUUCAGCGUGGAUGCACCUUGAGGACAUCAUGCUCAGUGAGAGAUGCCAGAGACACAGAAGGACACACCCCGCAUGGUUCCACUCCUAGGAGGUCCAUAGAGCUGUCAGAUUCAGGGAGACAAAAGGAAAAAAUAACUGAAGGAAGGCUGCAGAGGUCCCACAUCCGCAGCUUACAGAAACGGAGGCCCGGAGGGCAUGAUGUCCCCACAGGUGCCCUGGAAG